rnacentral:rRNA from 1 species
GAUGAACGCUGGCGGCGUGCCUAAUACAUGCAAGUCGAGCGAACAGACGAGGAGCUUGCUCCUUUGACGUUAGCGGCGGACGGGUGAGUAACACGUAGAUAACCUACCUAUAAGACUGGGAUAACUUCGGGAAACCGGAGCUAAUACCGGAUAAUAUAUUGAACCGCAUGGUUCAAUAGUGAAAGACGGCUUUGCUGUCACUUAUAGAUGGACCCGCGCCGCAUUAGCUAGUUGGUAAGGUAACGGCUUACCAAGGCAACGAUGCGUAGCCGACCUGAGAGGGUGAUCGGCCACACUGGAACUGAGACACGGUCCAGACUCCUACGGGAGGCAGCAGUAGGGAAUCUUCCGCAAUGGGCGAAAGCCUGACGGAGCAACGCCGCGUGAGUGAUGAAGGUCUUCGGAUCGUAAAACUCUGUUAUUAGGGAAGAACAAACGUGUAAGUAACUGUGCACGUCUUGACGGUACCUAAUCAGAAAGCCACGGCUAACUACGUG